CUUAAAUGUGACCAUGAGGGAGACAUGUGGCCUUGACCCUAUCCUUGACCCUCACGUAGUUUGUGCCUCAUUCUCCCUGGAACCCAGGAACUGGUAGCAGUGCUGUCUAGUUUUGCCUGCAAACUCCUUAAUAUUGCCAUAAUAUCAUCUUACCACUGAUGCUGCAGAAAAUGAGACAGUCAUGUUUUGUCUUCAGAUUCUUCCUUCAAACCCAGAAUUGCAGUCUUCAACAUAUUCACAUGGCUUUGGUGAAACUGGUUUCACAAACACUGCAAAAAUCAGUCUCCUCAUGCCUGCCAUCUCCUAUUAUUUCUUGGGCCAAUGGAGAGGUGGUUUUCCCUCCUGUUUCUGCAAUGGCUUGGUGAUGGGAAGCCUACCCCAUCUGAUAUCUAUCUUC